rnacentral:sRNA from 1 species
UAGUAAAAAAAACUUACAUGGCAUCGC